rnacentral:rRNA from 1 species
GGGUCAGUAGGUUGGUCGUGCCACCGGUACGUACUGGUCUCACUGAUUCCUCCUUCCUGAAGAACCGUAAUGCCAUUAAUUUGGUGUUGCGGGGAAACAGGACUGCUACUUUGAAAAAAUUAGAGUGUUUAAAGCAAGCUAACGCUCGAAUACAUUAGCAUGGAAUAAUGAAAUAGGACGAUCGAUCCUAUUUUGUUGGUUUCUAGGAUUGACGUA